rnacentral:rRNA from 1 species
CUUUGAGUUAGCGGCGGACGGGUGAGUAACACGUGGGUAACCUACCUAUAAGACUGGAAUAACUUCGGGAAACCGGAGCUAAUGCCGGAUAACAUUUGGAACCGCAUGGUUCUAAAGUAAAAGAUGGUUUUGCUAUCACUUAUAGAUGGACCCGCGCCGUAUUAGCUAGUUGGUAAGGUAACGGCUUACCAAGGCAACGAUACGUAGCCGACCUGAGAGGGUGAUCGGCCACACUGGAACUGAGACACGGUCCAGACUCCUACGGGAGGCAGCAGUAGGGAAUCUUCCGCAAUGGACGAAAGUCUGACGGAGCAACGCCGCGUGAGUGAUGAAGGUUUCGGAUCGUAAAACUCUGUUAUUAGGGAAGAACAAAUGUGUAAGUAACUGUGCACAUCUUGACGGUACCUAAUCAGAAAGCCACGGCUAACUACGUGCCAGCAGCCGCGGUAAUACGUAGGUGGCAAGCGUUAUCCGGAAUUAUUGGGCGUAAAGCGCGCGUAGGCGGUUUCUUAAGUCUGAUGUGAAAGCCCACGGCUCAACCGUGGAGGGUCAUUGGAAACUGGGAAACUUGAGUACAGAAGAGGAAAGUGGAAUUCCAUGUGUAGCGGUGAAUG